rnacentral:rRNA from 1 species
GACGAACGCUGGCGGCGCGCCUAACACAUGCAAGUCGAACGAGCGAGAGAGAGCUUGCUUUCUUGAGCGAGUGGCGAACGGGUGAGUAACGCGUGAGGAACCUGCCUCAAAGAGGGGGACAACAGUUGGAAACGACUGCUAAUACCGCAUAAGCCCACGACCCGGCAUCGGGUUGAGGGAAAAGGAGCAAUCCGCUUUGAGAUGGCCUCGCGUCCGAUUAGCUAGUUGGUGAGGUAACGGCCCACCAAGGUGACGAUCGGUAGCCGGACUGAGAGGUUGAACGGCCACAUUGGGACUGAGACACGGCCCAGACUCCUACGGGAGGCAGCAGUGGGGAAUAUUGCACAAUGGGGGAAACCCUGAUGCAGCGACGCCGCGUGGAGGAAGAAGGUCUUCGGAUUGUAAACUCCUGUUGUUGAGGAAGAUAAUGACGGUACUCAACAAGGAAGUGACGGCUAACUACGUG